GAAGGUUUUCCAGACCUUGCAAAGUUUACCCUCAGAAAUCCCAUCAAGAAAGUGGCUUGUAGAUUACAUGAUGGAGCUUGGGUUCUUCAAAUCACUUUCCCAGUGGGUUGGCAAUAACCUUAUGAAAUCUGGGGACCAUGAAACAUGGGCUUUUGAUCUCCAAGGUGCUGUUGAUAUGUUCAAUUCAUACAGGUUUCAGUUGGUGAUAUUGUGGUGACUCCAAUUUGAAUCAAUCAAUUUAUUCCAAUUUGUUCUUUUGAAGCUACUUCAGAAUUGAUGAAUUGAAGGAGAUGAUGAGAAGAUAAAGGAUGAACUAUUUUAAGUUUCUACUACUGGUGCUAGUGGUGACAGUUACUAAGAAGGCUGACCCCAAGGUGCUGGCUAACAAAGCUUCCAAGGCUGUCAAAGCUGGAGCAUCAACCAUUAAGAAGAAGGC